rnacentral:rRNA from 1 species
AUUGAACGCUGGCGGCAGGCCUAACACAUGCAAGUCGAACGAGUGGCGGACGGGUGAGUAAUGUCUGGGAAACUGCCUGAUGGAGGGGGAUAACUACUGGAAACGGUAGCUAAUACCGCAUACCAUCAGAUGUGCCCAGAUGGGAGUAGCUAGUUGGUGGGGUAACGGCUCACCAAGGCGACGAUCCCUAGCUGGUCUGAGAGGAUGACCAGCCACCCUGGAACUGAGACACGGUCCAGACUCCUACGGGAGGCAGCAGUGGGGAAUAUUGCACAAUGGGCGCAAGCCUGAUGCAGCCAUGCCACGUGUAUGAAGAAGGCCUUCGGAUUGUAAAGUACUUUCAUCGGAGAGGCGUUACCCGCACAAGAAGCACCGGCUAACUCCGUGCCAGCAGCCGCGGUAAUAC